UAUGAAGAACGUAGCGAAAUGCGAUAAGUAAUGUGAAUUGCAGAAUUCAGUGAAUCAUCGAAUCUUUGAACGCACAUUGCGCCCUUUGGUAUUCCUUAGGGCAUGCCUGUUCGAGCGUCAUUUAAACCUUCAAGCUCAGCUUGGUGAUGGGUGACUGUCCUCCCCUCGCGGGGGGACUCGCCUCAAAAACAUUGGCGGCCGGUACAUUGGCUUCGAGCGCAGCAGAAACGCGGUCUCGAGCCCGGUGGAUCGGCUCCCAUAAGUCUAUUCUUUUAUUUUGACCUCGGAUCAGGUAGGGAUACCCGCUGAACUUAAGCAUAUCAAUAAGCGGAGGA
rnacentral:misc_RNA from 1 species